rnacentral:rRNA from 1 species
GUCCUUCCGAAACGCCUAGAGCUCCACCUAUUGCUCCAGUGGACCAAUCUGCGUCUAGAGCAGCCAAAAUCACCUCGAAAUGCCUCCAUGGCGGUUCCGAUCUGGCGGCCUCGCCUGCGCGGUGGCUAUCGCGGUGGCGACGGCGACCGCCGCAUCCGUGGUAGUGGCCGCCGGAGCAGCGGACGGCGAGGCGGAGUUCGACUACCGGAAGCUCUCGGGGAUAAUAAUCCCGGGAUUCGCGUCGACGCAGCUGCGGGCGUGGUCGGUGCUGGACUGCCCCUACUCCCCGUUCGACUUCAACCCCCUGGACUCCGUCUGGCUCGACUCCACCAAGCUUUUCUCUGCUGUAAAUUGCUGGCUUAAGUGCAUGCUGCUUGACCCUUAUAACCAGACGGACCAUCCAGAAUGUAAGUCAAGGCCAGAUAGUGGUCUUUCUGCAAUAACAGAGUUGGACCCUGGUUAUAUAACAGGUCCUCUUUCUUCAAUAUGGAAAGAAUGGGUCAAAUGGUGUGUAGAGUUUGGUAUUGAAGCUAACGCUAUCAUCGCUGUUCCGUAUGAUUGGAGGCUACCCCCAUCGAUGCUUGAGGAGAGGGAUCUGUACUUCCAUAAAUUAAAAUUAACUUUUGAAAUUGCAUUGAAACUUCGAGGAGGGCCAUCGUUGGUUUUUGCUCAUUCCAUGGGAAACAAUGUAUUCCGGUACUUUUUGGAAUGGUUGAAACUAGAAAUUGCCCCAAAACACUACAUCCAAUGGCUCGACAAACAUAUACAUGCAUACUUUGCAGUUGGUGCCCCUCUUCUCGGGUCUACCGAAUCAGUUAGAGCCACUCUCUCUGGGACGACGUCUGGUCUUCCAGUCACUGAGGGGACAGCCCGAUUGAUGUUUAAUUCAUUUGCUGCUUCUUUAUGGCUCUUGCCAUUCUCAAAAUACUGCAAAGCUGAUAAUGUAUACUGGAAGCAUUUUUUUGAGGGAAAGGCCCACAUCAACAGACAACAAUGCGAUGAGAUGGAGUAUAGUUCAGACAACUCUGGUUGGCCCACAACCCUCGUCAGUAUCGAGGUUCCUACAGAUCGAGGUGCGGAUGCUUAUCCAUCCAUUAUGGACAUAACAGAGGACAUAACAUCCAACAUGGAGUGUGGAAAGCCAACACUCUUGUCAUUUUCUGCCAGAGAAGUUUCAGAUGGUACUUUGUUCAAAACUAUGCUGGAUUAUGACCCACAGAGCAAAGCCCUUAUCCAUCAGCUGGAGAAGUACUACCAGGGUGACCCAGUUCUCAAUCCUCUGACGCCCUGGGAUAGACCCCCAAUAAAGAAUGUAUUCUGCAUAUAUGGCAUUGAUACUAAGACUGAGGUAGGAUACUAUUUUGCACCAAGUGGCAAACCAUAUCCAGAUAAUUGGAUAAUAACUGAUGUGAUUUAUGAGUUUGAACGGUCCCUACUGUCAAGGUCAUUCUUUUUCUGGAAAGCCUAACAAUUCCAGUGGAGAUGGAACGGUAUCCUACAACUCCCUGUCAUGGUGCAAGCAAUGGCUUGGGCCAAAAGUGAACAUAACAAGGGCUCCACAGGCAGAACAUGAUGGAUCUGAUUUACAAACAAGCAUGAAUACUGAGCACUAUCAUGGUGAGGAUCUAUUUCCAAACAUGAAAAGGGCUCCACAUGUGAAGUACAUAACCUACUACGAGGACGCUGAAAGUAUUCCAGGAUGGAGAACAGCAGUCUGGGAGCUUGACAAAGCAAAUCACAGGAAUAUUGUUAGGAUGCCAGUGGUUAUGCGUGAGUUAUGGCUUGAAAUGUGGCAUGACAUGCACCCUUAUUCACAAUCAAAAUUUGUGACAAAAGCUUUCCGAGGUCCAUUGAGACACGAAGAUUGCCACUGGGAUUAUGCAAAAGCUCGGUGCGCCUUUCCAGAAUUCUGUGAAUACAGGUACACGUUUGGUGACGUGCAUCUAGGAAUGAGCUGCAGGCUGAAAUAUUCAUCAACUAAGCUCCUUCGGCAGUAUCUCUGAAGCCAUUGCUUGCUUGUUUGAGUGAGUAACUCUUGAUUACCACGUCCUGUGAAUCAUACCGGGCGUUCCUCUUUCGCUUGGCGAUGGCCAGGACAAGUCAGGGGCUUAGGCCCCAUCCAAAACAGUUAUGACAUUUUCAGGAUUUUGCGGUGUUGCUUGUAACACCAAAAUCUUGAGCCACGUGGAAGCCACUCGCAGCAGAAUUGACUUGAUCGUGCUGUUUGGGCAGCCAAUUGCUCACACACUAAGAGUCCAAGAAGGUACUCCGUACUUCCAUAGUACUCCCUCUCUGAAUAUCUAGGGCUUAUUUUGAUUGGUUAAGACAAGGGUUUGACCAAAAAUGGCCCCAUCAGUAUGUUAUCUAUCCAACGCAAAAUUAGUGCCAUUAGACAUGUAAAUUUUUGUUAGCCAAUCGCUAAACAUUUAUUGGCUGUUGAAUUGGUAAGAGCCGGGUGCUUCCAUGGAGCCAUGAGUGGUUUAUAUUUCUUAUGAGUUGAUUCCCGUGCGGUUAUUUUCUUGGUUUGCAUGAUUGCGCCUGCUACCACGUGACUAUAAAGAGCUGCCUCGCCGUGCCAUUUUCUCCCGUGGAGAGUUAAUUCUCGUGCCUUUGUUGUCAAGAAAGAAAACCGCUUUCAUCGUCGGGGGAAACCAGAGCAGAGACGUGGCAGCAGCGGCUUCAAGAUUGUGCUGGAUCAACUCUGUGUAGCCUAGCAAUGUACUCCAGCAGUGGACUUGGAGAACGGAGCACCGAGGUCAAAUCCGCCGUAAUAGAAUAUAGAAGUACUUCCAGUAAAAGGCAAUCUAAUGGCGGCUGGUAACCUGGUACAUUCAUUCAUCUCAUGACGAAAAAUCCAGCGCUCCUUUUCCACGGCCUAGCUUGUCAGUCGUCAUGAUAGAGCAGGACACGAGAGGGCAAGUCUUGGUCUUGCAUGACUUUGUGGUCGAUCGCUACACGUCGCAUGGCUUGGUACGCACGGCUCUUGCAUGGUGUCGCUCCCAGGUUCACGUCAGGAGAUUACGGGAAGCACGGUGGCACGCUGGGCGCUGGACAGGUGCAGUCUCUUUCGCACACUUUCUUUUCUGCAUUUUGUACUCUUUCUCUUUGGACCAAAUGUCCAGAUGGUUUACUUGAUCGGGCUCUCCGGUCCAUCUCCCACUAUAUAGCUGUCAACCGUCAUCAUUUAUUUAUUUUUGCGGGUGAACCGUCACCAUUUCAAAUAAUAGUAAUAACUGUCAACCGUCGCAUAAUUAUCCCGGUGUCACUGGCUGUUACUUUCUGUAUCUUUGUUCCCUGGUAAAAACAUAUCAUCAUUGGUGACGGUUAGGGAUGCAGAGCAGCGCCUUCUGCCCCCCUGUCAAAAUAAAGGAAAAUGUUUAGAAUCAACCGACUGAUUUCUUUGGAAAAUCAGUCGGGUUGCUCGCACGCCACGUCGUCUCGUGGUCCCAUGAAGCCUCCCCUAUCCGCUUCCUCCAGAUCGAGCCCAUCCCUUUUCUCUCUUCACAGACUUCUCUGUACCAGAUGCAACGCCGGCGACUGAUGCAACCAGAACCCCCGUCGCUCCCCUCCCCCACCCAGUAGCCUGGCCUUCCUCUUCUCCAUUGGAUCAACCACUGUCGGCGCUAAGGAGACGCUGCAUCGGAACACAUCAUCCAUGGCUGAGAUUGGGGGGAAGAUUGGCAACGGUGCUGCAACGAAGUAUUCAUGGCGCUGCUCGCCGGCGACGGUGAUGAAACGCAGCAUCCAUGGCACUGCUCACCGGCGAAGGCGCUGCAACGCAGGUGAUGCUCACUGGUGCCUCAUGGAGCGUCGCCGUGACACCGGUGUUGCGACGAAGCUUCAUCGGAGCCGCCGGCGUUGCGACGAAACAUCAUUGAGCCGCCGGUGUUUCAAUGGAGCAUCGCCGGACCGCGGAGGUGCUUCAAUGGAGCAUCACUGUGAGCAAGAAUCGAUACUCCGACGACGAGCGGUGCUACAGGGGCUGCUGCUCCGACGAGUGAGGAGAAAGACGAG